rnacentral:lncRNA from 1 species
GGAUUUUUUAGAGUGACCUUGAGGAUUAAAAUCUCUUGGUAAAUCAUACAUCAUGAUACGUGGAGUUCAUGUAACACUGUGUAGUAUCAGGCUGAUGUAGGGGUGCAAAAGUCACCAGCUAAGACCCAGGGGCAGUUUCUCCAGCCACAGGAUUCGUGAGUAUUCUUUACUACUCAGUGGGGUUUCUUUGCAGUCCAAAGCUCCUCUUCAAGCUGUACUUUUUGGGGUGCACUCUUUUAAGGGAUGAAUGCAGGUACAAAGUGUGUCUGAUGAUGCAGACAUACGUAAAGAGGACUAUUGCAUUAAAAUUCACUGAAGAGCGUACAGUCUAACUCUGACUGUAACUGGCAGGCCUCCCUUUAUUUCUCCUCAACAGACACUUUUGUUGAUGUCCCUCUCUGAGGCCAAGAAAACUGAUAGAGAAUCAAAGGAGAUGAGUGAAGUACUGGAACAGGAAAAGAAAUGGUGUCUAUGAAGAAGGUAGCUCACUGCUGAGUGUAACACUGGGCUGACAGUUUCUGGUGUUCUCCAAAGGUGGUCUCAGGAGGAGGGGAAGAGGGGGACUAGUAUUAGACAUGGAGGUUGGUGGCCCUGCAUGUGGCAGGAGGGUUGGAGCUUUAUGAUCCUUGAGGUCCCUUCCAACACAAGCCAUUCUUUUAUUCUAUGAUAAGGAAUGGAAGCAGGAUAUCAGAACCAUUUUAAGUUCUUGAGGCCGCCGACUCUGUCUCUGUGAAGACUCUCCUGUGACAAAGGCAGGCAGUGUGGUCAUCAGCAGUAAUGGGAAAUCACUGGGGAGUAGAGGAUGAAGCCUUGCUUACACAGAGUAGAGUCAUUGACCUUCAAAACAGUCUGAAAAUUAUUUUUUCUCAGAUCCUAGAGAAUGAUUAAAGGAGGUAAGGAAGUCCUUCAUGGGGAAAGGGAGAAAAGAACCUAAGUUUACAUCUAAUGGGGCACUUGGGAAGUAUGGAAGUUUUUCUAAUUUAAGUCUGAAUUUGGAUGACAACUUCAGCCAAAAAAAAUGACAAGAGAAAGACAUCUGUGUGGAGAGGCAUUGUCAUCUAUCAGAGCAAUGGAUACAGCAGGAAAGAAAGAAGAGGCAAGGCUCUUCUACCUGGAAUUUUGUCUACUGUUUUCCAACCCUACUGACUGGCCUAUCAUUUGAUCCCCAUGGCCACAGUUCCAGAGAACCUCACAACAACUGAAUAUUUUAUGGUUGAAUGAUGGAUGAAUACGGAUGCCACAGUUACAAACUUUCCCAUCACACUUCUGAUGAAGAACAGAGGGGUUUGCAGCAAUCACACACCACUAAAGAUUCAAAACAUUUGGACUGAGGAAUGUUUUGGACAAAGGAAAGUUUAUUAAGGCUGGACAAGUAUGUUUUAAAGUUUUGGAAGCGUCUUGCCUUUAUAAAUAAAACUGCCGUUAGCCAUUAGAUAGGGUCUGGACACUGGAGUAACUCAUGUUCUCCAUCUGCCCCUGAGGCUUUCUUUUCCUUUUCCAGUGAAUUUUAUCUUUAAACAUUUUUAACGCAUGAAAUACACUUCAGUAUAUUUCACUGGGCAGUGAAAUUCAACCUACCCUAAAGUCUGGAAGGCAAAUAUAUUUGUAACCAGUUCAUUCUCUGAAGUACUUCUUUCUGCAUGUGUUUUCUUUUUUCUUUGUUUGUUUUCUAGCUUGUUACUAAAAUGAAUAUGUGCUUCUUAAUUACAGGUUUAUUUUCUGAUUUAAUUGCUGUUGUUUGGGCAAUAUUUCUCUGAAUGUACACCUACUACUGAGGUGUCUUUGUAAUGGAAUAGCCAUAUUUUACUACAGUAAAAUCUGUCUCUUAUUUCAGCUUCAUGGUAACUUGAGUAAAUCUUAGAUAAGACGAGGCUUUUUAUUUUUUUUCAUCACUUUCUUUGCUAAUGCUCUUAAAACAGUGUCUGAAGUGGAAUUUGGAAGUUUCGUAUUGCACUGUUUCUUAAAGAAAACUAUUGCUCUGCUUGCCAUCCUAGCAGCAAGCUCUGAUAAAUGUCCCUCCAUUUGUACUGUACAGUGUUAAUGUAAUUCUUCUUCCUGUAACUGGCUCUGAGCAGGCUGUGCUACAGCAAAUAAGUUCCUUGGGUUACCCCGGUGCCUCCAUCAACCACCAGAGCUGGGAGACCACUGAAUAGGACUGGCAGCUCUGUGUGCUCUCCUGCAGCACAGUCAAGUUUAUACUUUACCACUCAGACUGUGGCACAUACAGAGCAGCCAUUACCACUUAACAUAUACUGUUUAAACUCUGUUGAAGUUUAUUCCUACACUGAGAAACCUCCUCAGCACCUCUUUUCACAUUUUGAGACAUCCUUGAUUUAGACAGAAUUGAUUUGAGCUCCCUCAUCAUGAAACAAUGUUGAAAUGAAAAAUAACAGAUGCAAGGCAGAGACACUGGAAUGAAGGACCUUCCACUACUUUAUCUGUAUGACAAGAGAACUUAAGGCAUUAACAAAAAUAAUACUGUUGUUCUUUUUUUGUUGUUCUCCAGGCAAUUUUUUUUCUACUCUUUGUUUACUUGCUAUGAAUCAUCUCCUCUUAAGAAUUCAUUGUGCAGAUUUAUAUAAGGAGACAAAGAACUGUUUAAUCAUCUGGUCUACCCUGUUCAGAGUGCAAACCUGGCACUAUACCAGCAGGAGUGCCAGUGUCUCAGUGAAAGGCAAAGCAGCAACAUCCCCUGGUAGUUCUUGCUCCAGGAGUUGAGGUCACAACUAUACAGUGUAGGAGGGCAGCCUGCUCCUCACCACCUCUGCUUCACUGGGACCACAUCCAGGUGCCUUUGGAAGAUCUUCAAGGAGGUGACUCCUAAUAAACUAUUAUUCUCUUCUGUAAGGAAGAACAUUCAUUUUUAAUUCUUCACUUCAUCCCCAGAGAACUAGGGUGCAAUGAAAAACUCUCCUUUAACAUGUCCAAGUGAAGGGCCAGGCUCCAUGCCAGUUACAAAUUCCCUAUUCCAGGCGAUUAACAACUGACAGUUGAGCUGUUAAUGUCGAAAGUAGCCUGAUCCUCACUUAUCAUCUGCAUCAUGAAGAAAAUGCCACUUGUGAAGGGUUUCUGAAGAAGCUGCUAAAUGAAGGUGACAGACUGCUAAAUGAAGGUGAAGUUUCCUUGUGUGUGCAUGUAGUUAACAGCACUUAUUUUUAUUUCCAUAAACUCUGACACACAGUUUAAGUCAUGUUCAACCCAAUUCCUUCCCAGCACAAACUCAAGUCCACACUUGUGUUUGUGUCUUGUUCACCAAGUCUGCCAUCCCAGCCAGAAGGUUCAAGAAAACCUUCAUUUUAAUGCUCUUCAGUUCCACAUCUGUUUCCCAUCAAAUUUUUUUUAGAUUUCCCUAAUGCCUUUUUUUAAAAAAAACUGGUCUCAGCCUGAUCCUAUGGAGAAGAGGAAAGAGAAUUUGCCUAACUUCCUGUGUAACAGUGGAGGCACGAAGAAAGGAAGAAGAAAUAGAAUUUACAUAAGGCAAUCAUUGAUUAAAAAUCCAAGUACAAGGUAUGAUUGAUUGCAUCUCCUGCUUCUGUUAUUUUUGAAGCAUUAAGGACAUGAAUAGCUCAAUGGGUGACAAGAAAAGUGUCAGGUUGUUAAAAAAGUUGCAGACUCAUGCCUUUAGAUCUAAAAAUUAUCGAGCUGCAGCUCAAAGGUGAAAAACUUACCCUCAGGCGAGGAGGGUGUGACUCAUCAUCUCAACAUAAAAUGUACAUAACAGACUUCUGAAUAAAUUUGGUCUUGAUAAGAUCUGUGAAGGCCAAGUUGAAGUGACUGGAGAUGAAUACAAUGUGAAAAGUGUGGAUGGAAAGCCUGGUGCUUUCACAUGUUACCUUGAUGCAGAUCUUGCCAGAACUACUACUGGAAACAAAGUCUUUGUGUGAAAUAAUCAGAUGCUAUGUAUGGGAAAAGGACCACAACAGCUGUGACACAUUUUUACUCUUUUCAUUUGCACACUUGGUCCAGAUUUGGCCUCUCUUACUCAAUUUAAAUAGUUCCUCACCAUGUAGUCAUGAAUGCAAAUAGGACUGUAUGGAAACUGAUGUGCUACCACUGCAAGGCAAGAUAAUCUGAAGACAUUGUUUUGUUUAAACUUUCUCUGUACAUAUACUCAUAAAUAUGAAAUAAAAUACUCAAUACAAACGUAAAAGGAUGUUUGUGUAUGUGUGUAGAGGUUUUUUUAACCAAAGAUCAAGAUAUGCUGAACUUCAAAAGGUUAUUUUGGGCCAGGUAAAACUUCAGAGUUUUGUUUCUCCCUGGAAAAGUCAAUAUGGUUUCUGCUCUGCUGUGAUCAAGACUAUUUACUUGACAGUUUAGAAUAAACCUAGAAUCAAUAUCUUUAUCGUGUCAUGUGGAAAUGUAUAUAUGUGUCAGAUAAAACCUUGCAGUUAUAGCAGCAAGAGAGACAUAAAUUUAGUGCUUUGAACUUUUCAGAAUUGGUUUUAGGAAUAAUGUAUUUUAUAUGGCAGAGACGCUACCAGUAAGAGGGAGUCUCAACUAAUGGAAAAUGAUUGAGGAGUCAAAAUGGUACCUCUCUUAAAUCACAAAAGAAGUGAUUAUCGUGUCUCUUCCAGAUGCAGUUUUAAUGAGACGUGAAUAGCAGUUGAGUAGGGGGUGUUGAUUUUUAAACAUACAGCAAUUAUCAGUCUCACUAGCAGUAAUCAUCUAAUAUUCCUUAAAGUAAGUCGCAAUUGUAUGUAUCUGAUCUUGCAUUCAAUCAGACUAAAAUAAGACUAACUCGUGAUUACUGUAUACACUUAGCUCUCAUUUUGAAUGACUACUUUUUAAUUCUAGAACAACUCCUAAGAGAACAGUAACAUUUUGACAAUAUCACAUAUUCCCAAAGAUAUGAAUUACCCAAGGGUAACAAAAUGUAAAGGUCAACUUUCUGUUUCACUGUGAAUUAAAUUUUGAGCUGUAACCAAUUAGCAUUUAGGUUUUUUUCUGGCUGAUUCUGAGUCUUGUAAGCCACUACUACCUCAGGGGGAACUAUUAAAAAAAAAAAAAAGAAAUCACUUCCAAAAGGUGCACACGGAUUUUCCAAUUGUCAGGGAUUUUUUUUUUUUUUUUAACAUCCAAUUGUCAGUCAGAAUUUGUCAGGGAAGGAAAGAGUGGCGCUAAGUACUUUGCAUGUGUCUCUGCUUUGCAGUUUGAUGCUCUCUGCAGCAAAAAACAAGUUAAUUCCUGGAUCAUGGAGUACUUCCCGGUGACUUGCUGGCAAACCCUAGAUGGUGGGUUUCAUCUCAGCUACCUCUAUAUGCUCUGAUGAGUGGAGCAGAAGGGCAAAAUCCCUAAAAGCCAGGUAGCCUCCAAAAGCUCUAGGGAGCAGAGGAGCCUGAGACUGAGGCGUGCCCAGGUACCUUCUGGCAUAGCAGAAGAGAAAUGAGUGAGUUUGAAACACAGUUGUUUAGUUUGUGCUGUGUUGCAGCUUUUUAGGACCAUCUUGGUCAAACAGGAAAAUACUGAAAUGUGAAUUCUCUCUUUGCAAAAACGUUUCCAGCUUUGUAUUGCAAAGCCUAGAGAAUGAGGAGCAGAAGAAUUCGCAUACUCAAGAUUCAAGUAAAGAGCACAGGAAAUGUCUAUGAAGGAAAAAGCAGUGGAAGAAGAGAACAACAGCAUCAAAAAUAACUCUAUGCAUCGAACCUAAUCCUGUGCACCUGCUACUGCGUCACUGAAGAGACUGAGUGUAGCCUGCAGUGAUAACAAGGUGGGAGAGACGUUAGGAGUGAACAAAAACAUGGCAUCAUACCAGGCACUCUGAAGAAAACAAUUCAACUCCAGUUGAAACUAAGAAACACUU